ensembl:lncRNA
CCUUGCAACACCGACUCCGAACCCUGUCGGGCUGUGGGGACUGCGGUGAUUCUCUGUCAGAUGUAGACUGGACCGGUGUGUUCUCACAGUAAGCAGGUAGCAGUGUUUUGAAACGGAUGCAGGCAGCCACCGGUGACCGGUGAAGGGGGCGGAGGAGCCAAUAAAGACAGGUGAUUUCGAAGUCAUACAGUCAUGCUAUUUACACUUUCCGUCUUAUUGAACCAGUGACAAUUCAAGUGUUUUCAUUCAUGUGUCAAGUUUACCAGGGUGUCAGAAGAUGAGUGUAGUACACACUACUGAGUGUAGUAGUGUUGAGGGAAGCUCUUUGCCGGAAAGGGUUACUUCCUCACUAUCUGUACUGUGUGUACUGUCAGUAAACUGCCUGUUAAACACAAGCACUGAUAGCCAUCAACACCUCUGUGUCAACGACCAUUCAAGAGGAAAUGGGCCCAUUCAGUGACGAUAGCCGAUGACUCAGCAAUUCAUCUUUUAUGUAAGAGUAUGUAAGAUUAGUUCAGAUUUUCUGGCUAAAAAAAGA